rnacentral:rRNA from 1 species
UACGGGGGGGGCAAGCGUUGUUCGGAAUUACUGGGCGUAAAGGGCUCGUAGGUGGCCAACUAAGUCAGACGUGAAAUCCCUCGGCUUAACCGGGGAACUGCGUCUGAUACUGGAUGGCUUGAGGUUGGGAGAGGGAUGCGGAAUUCCAGGUGUAGCGGUGAAAUGCGUAGAGAUCAUGAGGAAGACCAGUGGCGAAGGCGGGUCUCUGGACAGUUCCUGACACUGAGACACGAAGGCCAGGGGAGCAAACGGG